AGCUCUGAUCACGAGCUGCUCAGACCUCUCCAAGUGAUGGGGACCAGUGCCGUGGUGGUCUGUUCCCAGUGCUGCACUGCGCAUGUAUGGAGCUGUGUCUCUGCUUCCACCUCUGCCUUCAGACAAGGGCACCAGGCUGGGGAAGCAAUGGAGUGGUAGUCGAGCCCUCGCCAGGGGCUGGGGUUGCUGUGACCUGAAUGAAGGGAUUGUGUGAAGACAUGGGGAAGUCUCCAAAGCCGGGAAAAUAGAGGCUGGUGCGGAAAGCUAAUGCUUUAAUUCUGGAAAUCUGUGGGCGUUGGGCUGCCCCCUUUCAUGUGGCUGAAUUUCCCCCUCCACACAAGAGCGAGAGUGUGAAAAUGAGGCAGAGAAACCCAGAAGGGUGGUGGAGGUGAGGAGGGGUGGGAGCCAAUAUCCACGCUGGGCUCGUGAGAGCAAGGAGAGACUUGUUGAGGAGUAAGCGGGCGCUUGGUGGAUUCCCUGCACAUGUGCCUUGGGUGGGUGAAGAGCCUGACUCAGCACAGAGGGAAGACAGGCUUCCUCCUCCGACUCCGCGUGUGAGCUCAGCCCAGGGUUUUGAUUCACGUUGAGUGGGUUGGUUUCACAACUCUCACAGAGAAUCUUUGAAAUCGGAUAAGAGCAAAACCACAGUCAAAAAAGCUCCUUGCGUUUCUGAGCACAGAACCACUGCUGUUUCAUUAUGAUCUAGAGUUUCAUUGACUGAAUUUCAGCUUGGGAAGUAGCACAGGAACAUGGUAAAAUACGAUCUGUGAAAAACUGAUAUAUUGAAAAACAGAAAGUUAGAAUGGCAAAUUAAAAAAAAAAAAAAAAAAAAAAAAGUGCCCUUAUAAAUUAAGAGUCUCUUUUUUCCCUUAAAUUUAUUACUGCCACGAACCUGAAGCUACCAGGCAUCCUCAAGCAGGCAAGACAGAGCAGCAAGCAUGGGGCUGCCCACCCUGGGCACUGUAAGAUGAUGCAGAAGCCGUCAUCUGGAGUUGAUGUGCUCUGGGCUACAAACCAAGGCCCCUUCCUAGCUGGGGUCACCACUAGUUGCCAACAGGACUUGGGCCACCUCCCUGGUGGCCCCGCGGAUGCUGAUGCUGGAGCAGUGCUAAAGAGCAUUCUUCUGAAAGGGCUCCUUCUUUCUCUAUGCCAUCUUCCUGCUGGGUGUCUCUGCCUCUGGAAAACCAGUAGGUGCCUUACAUGCAAGGAACCUCAAUGACAUGGGCAACCCUGCGUGUCCUCACCGAUGAGAAGGACACGGAGACAGGUAGAGGCAAUCUGGUGUUUAUUGUCCUGUGAUAUUUUCUCUGUUUAAAACCUAUAAGGAGCCCUCUCAGUAAUUAUGCAAUACUGUUCAGAUUUGCAAAGUAAGCACGUUACAAAGCUUUAGAAAGCAGAAUAACCAGCUAACAAGCUACAGAAAUGUCUGAAGACAUAAAUCAAUGCCAUACCUCUGUGACUACGUUGAGGCAAAAUAACAUGAAAAAAAAAAAAAAAAAAAGAAAGAAAGCCUACAAGCCCAAAGCAAUGCGCACAGGAAUUCUGUUGUUGUUUUUGUUCCUACGCACAUGCCAUUCAUAUGAGGUGGUGUUUGUGCUUCGCUCGCGGUGGCGGUGGACGUCACUGUCUGGAACUGCGCAGGCCUCAUGGUCAGAGGGAUAUGUUUAGGGCCCUCCACAGUGAACCUGAAGACAAGGAUAUCAGAAGACAAAUAGACCUCCAGGUAGGCCAAGGUUUCUUUGUUUACCUGUUUUCUUGUACUUUUCAAAGCAAACUGCUUAAGUCACUCUAAUCCAAUGUCAUGACUUGGGGAAGCUUGAACUGGGACUUUCCAAGCAUGUGAGAUUAGUUACAUACUAUUUAUGUUACAGCUCUGUUUUGCUCUCCUUGCUCAUACAUCCUCUUUGGGCUUGCUCUCUAUCCUGACAUUAGGCUGCAAGUAUUUUUCCUCAGGCACAGCAAGUAUAGAAGUUAGAUACGAGACUGGGAAGCAGAUGGAGCACUCACCAUCUUUUCUCACCUGAGGUUUUCUAGGGAAAGGACAGCUCCACAAUGAGGUUAUGGACAGCUUUGGAAAGUACAACACAGAAGUUCUACUGAAGUUGUCCCCCUUUCGAUCAACGUGGGGUUUUCCCCACCCCACACUUUCUAGCUCUUCCAAGCAUGGAAACUGGGAAACAAUGGAAAAAAUGAGGCAGCCUGCCCUCUCAGAAGACAUUUUGUAAUGUCACUCUGCUUGCCUGCUCACAGCCCGCAGGUGAUGUUGAUCGUGUUUACAGGAAAUGCCGUGAGUAAUUUGCAAAGUGAAAGCAGCUUACACUGGGUGAGGGCCUGUCUGAUGGAACAGAGCCAUGCUGCGUUUCUGGGCUCAUGGGCUGGAGAGGAGCAGCCUGGGAGGAGGUUGUGUAACAAUUCUUCCAAUACUGGUGUAUUGGAAGGACAGCUUGAGGCCAAUGUGACUCUGUCAAAAGGCCUUGCUUAGCAUUGCCACCUUCCUGGAGGAGGCAAAUUCUAGACCCUUUUACACCUCAUCCUUUUUGCCCUCACUCUCUUGUAUAAUCUUGAAUCCAAGAUGCAGCACAGCCUCAGCCCAACAGAACAUACAAGUUAUCUCCUGAAGGACUUGAGGCACCUCUGUCUCUCUCUUCUGGAUGUGGCUCUGGGCAGCCUGGUCUGGUGGUUGGCGACCCUGCACAUAGCAGGGGGGUUGAAACUACAUGAUCAUUGUGGUCCUUUUCAACCCAGGCCAUUCUAUGAUUCUAUGAUUCUCCCUACAUCCUUCUCCUUCCCCCAGUGUAACACUCUACUAACUGCACUCUCCAGACACAAUCUGGAAAGCAUAAGCACCACAGUGCAGAAAAGGCUUGUGCAUCCUUUGCAGAUGCCUACAGCUCCUGGAGACAGCAUGUGGCUGCUGAGCUCCCCAGGUAGUCCUGCUCAUGGCUCGGUGCAAUUCCUGAGUGUGCUGGGAGACCUCCUCCCUUCCCAUGUUUCCUUGAAAUCCUCUACUUCUCAGUCAGAGUGCAAAUCUGGGUUAUAUCAUGUAAUUUCUUCCCAGUAAAUGCUGGUCUCUCCACUCACUCUUUGCAUCACCCACUGUCUGCUGUGGUUCCCAGGCUGGUUGUGUUUUUUUUCCCAGCCUGUGAAGGUCUGACGAUGCUAGUGAAAUUACACAAGGCACAAAUGAGGAGAAUGGAGUAGAAGCCCAAAGAUGUGCCUCCUAGCAGGAUUUAUCUGGGGAGCUCCUUCCCUGUCCGCAGGUAAUCCUGAUUAAAUAGUGCAUCGCCUUUCCAUCCUCAUUGUGACCAGUUGCAUGGGAUACUGUCAGAGCACUUGCUUCUGUAGGAACCACCUUCCAACUAUGCCCAUGUCCCUUUUCCAUCAGCACAGAUGUUAUUUUAGUACAAUUUUGAGAGACUGAACUGUGCCUCCUGUGAGCCUGAACACAUUGUAGUUUACGCCUAUGCUCUCCUGUGCUGUUGUUCCCAGCCUGCUAUCAUUUCACAUCAGCAUUCAUUCCAACUUUCAUCUCCUUCUCAUUACUGAGGUACGUGCACAUUAUUAGUACUUACAGACCCAGAACAGGGCCGGGUCUCUGUGCCAGGAUCUGUAAGGAAUGAUCCUGCUAGGGAGCAAACACAGCCGAGUUCAACAAACACAGCAAGCAGAGAGCGUACCCGAUGUUCAGAGGCAAGGAGGCAGCCUACUUUUGUGUGGCACUGGGCAUUCCUGGCAUUCCUCCCUGAUCCUUGCAGAAAGAAAAGACAAAGUACAUUCUGCACCUGUCCCAGAAGAACAUUGGAUUCAAUGUUCCCUCUUCUUCCCAGAGCGUAGCAACCUGCCAGGGACAUGGAGGCACAUAGAGGGAGGUGCAGAAGAAACAAGGAGGAAUGUGGAGGAAGAUGGAGGACUUUGAAGUAAUGUUGAGGGAGAUGGUUCCUUAGGAUGUGUCUCAAUGGGCAGGUGAGGGCAGACCCAAAUUAAUUGCACCCACACCACAUCACUCAGGUGCAAGGCACUUCUAGCCCAGAAGCUGUGUGACUCUGCAGGCAGCACUGUGCCAACAUGGGGCAAAACCUGCAGUUUGGCUCAAUACCCACCUGGCGUUGGAUGCAAACAAACCUGUGAGUCCUACACCAAGUCUACAUCUUGGCCUGCCUUCUUCAGUUCACUCCGUUGGUACAGCUGGGCUCUCAGUGAACCAGAAAGUGUGAGGUUUGCCAGAACUGAAGAGCGUGUGAAUGGGUUUGUGAAGGUGAGGGAAAAACGUGUAUUUUUUUUUUUAAACCUGAAAAACUAGCUUACCUGUGCAUCAUAAUAGGGAUUUUGGAAUUGAGACUAUUGUAAUGGUUGUGGGCUAGAGUCAUUAGAGCAGUGCUGUGCUACUGGGACACUUAUAGGCUACCUCCACACUUACCAUUGCUCAGAAGACAGACAUUCUCUUCUCCCUUUAGCUAAGCCUGCCUGAACUGGAGGGCUUUUGCAUGACUGUGAAGGAAAGAGCUUAAUUCUUCUUUAUGACCUGCUUCAAAUAAAGCUACAGCAACCAAAUGGACCGUGCUGUGUGAAACCCAACAUCAUGCUCGUGUGAGUCAAAUAUCCCCCUCUGGUGCUGGAGAGUUCAGCUAAAGAGCAAACAACGGUAAACACCAGCAGCUGAAAGUGGGUGUUCUUUUGCUUUCUUCAUGGCAACAGCCCAGCAGACUGACGGAGAUCAAAAAUUACCUUAUCACCUGGAGGUCUGCAGAGAAGCCAAGAGAUGUUGAAACCUCCCACCACCUCCAACAUCAAAGGCUGCAGCAGGUAUCUUUCCAGGUGCUUUUUCACAGCCAGCCUCAGUGAAAGCUCCCAUUCAAAAGGCAGUAACUCGGGAACAUUAGGUGUAGCUUCUGGUGGCUGAACCGGUUAAAGUUACCCUUCAAUGUCACCAGAAUAGCACACUAAAAGGGGAAAUUCAAGGAGGAAAACAAAAAGAGUCCUACCUAGGGGAUUGGCUGCUUUACAGGGGCUGGUAAUGAGAUCAUACUGCCAUGAUUCAAGGUCACAAAUUUGACUUUAGAUAAGGUGUAGCAACAGCCUCAAUCUGUAAUGGUGACUGUUCAGCAGCCUGUGUGACAUUAAUGGGUAGUCUCUUGUAGCCUUUUAAUUUAACAAGGUGAUUGCUAUAAGUUUUGUAAAAAAAUACCUCCAAACACAACUACUAAAAUGAGCUGGCGUGUGAUAGUGAACAACAAAGUUCACUGAAGCCUUUUGUACUGAUGCAUUGAAUGAUGAUGUAUUCACACCACUUUGCUGUUCUUUGUUAGAGCUUUAGGGCAGAGAUGUUAACAAAGGAUGUUCUGUAUAUUUGCAACAUAACAAAAUAAAAGAUUUUUUUUCCAGUAGGGCAUAACUACUAUCACAUAUGACUCUAACUUUAAAUGUGCCAUAAGGUAGCAGCACUGUCCAGAAGCUAGGCCUCUUCUACCUUUCAGCUUGCUGAGAACAACUUGUCUGAAAAGAUGCAGGCUGCUUUCUGCUCUGUACCUUUGUGCAGGGAGAAUUCAGAGUUCCUGGUGCAGUCCCAUCGUGCUGUGCUCGCCUCCUUUAGAGUUCACUGUAUUAAAGAUGAAGGUAUUGGUAACAUUCAAUUUCAGCUUUCAUAUAUAUAUAUUUUACCUAUUGUAAAAUACUUUCAGUACUGCUGUACUGCAGCAGCCUAUUCAUUUAUGUGCUUUUAGGCACCUUUGGGUAACAGAAAUUACACCUAUCAGCAACAAUGGAAUGACAGACCAAAAACAAACCUAUCAAAUCUCUCAUUUCUGUAAAAGCAGGGCGAAAAAAGACUGAAAAUGGUGCCCUCUGCUUUCUGGUGAUCUUAUGCAUUCAUCAACAAGGUGCCCCAAAUCCAUUCUUAACUACGGCUAUAAUCUCGUGUAACAAAGGUACCUCCUGGGUACUGGUGAGAGACUUGUAGGAUGUGUUUAUUAUGAUUAAAUCUCUGAUAAGUUAAUUUUGGUUCUGGCAAAUAUUCCUAUGAUUUGCUCUGGGCAAACAAAAAAGCCACUAUACUUUGUUGCUGUAGGUGCAGUCCUGAUGUCUCAUUCUGUGUAUAAAACAGAGAUUUUUGAAUAUUGGAGAAUCUGCAGCCCAAAAAAGCCUGCUGGGGAGCAGAAGACACACUGGUAGGUGACAAAAACAGAGUUCACUGACUGCAGUUUGCAAAAUGCCAUAGGUUAUUUCUGUUUAUUGCCUGGGAUUGUACAAGAAGAUCAGAAUUUAAGCUUGGACGUUCUUGGAUAUUUUCCCCGUGAGAUUUGCGUCUGCACAGAGAGAAUGUUAUAAUAUGCUUUCUUCUCCUUGGAGAAGGGAUGAUAUCCCCUUGGCAACAUGAGUGAUCACUUAAAUGGAACAAUAACAUUAAGCAAGUGUUUGCAGAUGCCCUUCAGGGUGCUUUAGCAUCUGGAAACAAGAGAAGGAGUGGUAAGCAUUAUAUGGGUAAGCGAUUAGGAAGACAGAAAUGUGCUUGGGAGAGAGACACAUAUUUCAGAAAUGGAAUUAUUCCAUAAAAAGUGUCAAAAACGUACCUUUAAGUGAGCAGUUUGGGAGGAUGUUCUGUAGACUACUUAUGACGUGACUACUGAAUAUGAGGGAUUUGCCCCUUUCUCUGUGGUGUGAGACAUUGUCUGAGAAAAGACUGAUCCGGUUCAGGGUCUGCCCAGACAGGGAAUACCUCAGUCAGUGACUCUCAGUGAAUAACAUUUCUGUGCUCAGUGCCUUUUCCCAGUCUUGGGAGGAAAUGAAUAACAAGUACAGCUACCUUUUUGGCAUCUCUACGUGCAACAAGUUAGGGUAGCGUUUUCAGCUAAGGUUAAGGGGAAAGCUCCAGCAGGAACAAGGAGACUUGUACAGCAACUCUUGGACCCAGUUGCCAUUCAGCUCAGAAAUAGUUCUCUGCAAGGCUUCUGCUAACUUUAACAAUUUGUCCCUUGCACUGGUGGAAGGCUGUCGGGAUCUGUGGGCCCCUGGAUCCAUGGUGGUUAGGUGGAAUUGCACUUCACACAGUGCCAUCCCUUGCAGAAUUAUGGGCUUUAACUCAACUCUGUGGAUUCAUUCCUUGCUACCUCCCCACUGGCCUUUCUGGCUGCCACAAAACUCAGAUUUUCACCUAUGCAAAGUUCAAAGGGGCUGCUCACUGUGAGUUCCACUUUCCAAGGUAGCACUUUCCCUCAGACAAAAGAAUGGAAGGUUGGUGCCUCCAGCAAGGAGCAGAGAAGGGCUGGAGCACAGACCGUACUGCAGUUGAAGAAGGCAAUUACUGUUAUGAGGCCAGAACAAGCAGCUAAAAUAUGGAAGUCAGGCAACUUGGUCAAAUUGGAGUUUGACAUAAAGAACGUGAUAGUGCCAAUUCGAUGUUCUGUUUUUUUUUUCCUUGGUGGAUCAUUUUUUUCCCUGCUUUUCACAUUUUUAUUACUUUUUUUUUUUUUUUAAACAUGAACUGUUUAGAAGGUCAAAACUUUAAGAGGCAAAACAGGUAGAGAAAUUGCAAAUAAUGUUGGUGCUCUAAUGCCUAUUCCUAAGAACCUGUGAUGUAAAAAGUCUCAGAAGUCGCAGUUCAAGUGUUCUUUGCAUGUCCUCUAUUGCAUGUCAAGCAUGCAGUAUGUCUAUUGCAUAGACCUCUACAUCUAGCUGGUCCUCUAUUGCUUUUGUUUUUAGGAUUCAUGUUUGCAUGUAGUCAAAUUUACAUGAUGUUUUAUGCAUCCAGAAGAGUUAACAUCCUCCCUUUUCUUUCACGUCGAAUGGAUGCUAUGGUUUUAUGUGGGGAUGAGCAACACUUACGACAGAUAAGCUGACAAAACACAGCAAAAUCCUGGGUGUCUGCAACAUCAACAGUUAGGCUGGUGUUUCCAUGUCCCUGCUGAGGAUGGAAAAUGUUUUGCCAUCACUCUUCCUACAUACACAGUCCCAAAGUGUUCAGAAGGGCUACAUUUCUAGUGAAAUGAUCUUCAAGUGUUGUGUUGUCAUGAUAGAGAGAAGAUGGACUCAGUUCUCAGAGACCACAGUACAAUACGGAGCUUGUAGCUGAGCUUCAGUAGGAUGUUUUUAACAGUCUGAUAUCUGGAAAGUCUUUUUUCCUAAGUGGUCAGUUACUGCAAGCAAAAUGACCUUCUCCUCCUUUUGUCAGGAUUAAUUCCUGCAAACCAUACUGUAUUUUUCUCUAUGCUUGUCUGCUAACUAUGUAGAAAGUGCUAAGCAAUCGUGCAUAAUUCAUUACUCUUAAUUAAAAUGUAAAUUUAUUGUCAGCCUUUUGGGGUAAUUAAAGCACCACUGUGAGAA